UUGAGUUUCUCCUGGGGAGAGGAGUGUGCAGUCCGCACUCCUGCCUUGCUUCUGAGGUCUGGUCCCAACUGUGGCCUCCCGUGCAUCCAGAAAUGAUCCACAGAGCUGUGCUGUGAACAGAGGUGGACUUGAGUAAAAGAAGCUCGGUUCUUCUCCCUGCGGAGCCCCAAGUGGGCCAGAUCAUUCUCGGCAUCACCCAGCAGAACCCAGACCUCCCGAGCCCCAGAUAUUCGUCGGGAUUAGCGUCUUACCAGUAUGCUCCUCAGAGAAGUCUAGUCACAUGGGACUCCCUGUGGAGGUAACAGUGAAACUUAGUUUCUGGUCUUGUAACCACUGAGACUGUUUUACAGAACCACCCCCCCACCAAGGAGGACUCUUGCCCUGGAAUAGGCGGUACACCUGGUUCCCAGAUGCCUAGCCCUGCGUGGUCCCGCUGAAAGCUGACCAGGGAGGAACUGGCGCUGUCCUCUCCUGUCUGAGGCACUAACGGUGACAGUGGCCAGUCUUCCCGACCUCUGACCCUGCAGAGCCCGGCCCCCCAGCCCCUUUCCCUCCAGGCACUUGACUCCAUCUCGGAGGUGGGAGGCACCCCACCGACCCAUCGGGAGAUGCCACCUAAGGGCAGGAAUCUGGCGCUGUCCCCACUGCCCUCCUGGCCCUGCGUGGUCAGCAGCUCACAGUAUAUGCAGGGCUCCCGUCUGCACACCCUGUGUCCGGGGGGCCCAUCCUGUCAGCCCAGCAUCACAUGUGUCUGGGCAAGGAUACUCCUCCCGGGGCCAUGGGGACACUCUGCUGCCCACAUCCUCCUCCCACUGGGCCUGGCUGCUCAGCCUGGCUCACCCCGCGAUGACCACGCCCAGACACUGGUGUGCCAUGGCCCAGAGCCCCUGAGCAGCUGGUCACCCUCAGAACUAGGUAGUUGAGUGGGACAGAGGGCAGAGGGCUCCCCAAAAAAUAAGAAUAAAUUCUGAGCUCAGCGUGGCUUCAGCUGUUGAUCCAG